ACGAACGCUGGCGGCGUGCUUAACACAUGCAAGUCGAACGGAAAGGCCCUGCUUUUGUGGGGUGCUCGGGUGGCGAACGGGUGAGUAACACGUGAGUAACCUGCCCUUGACUUUGGGAUAACUUCAGGAAACUGGGGCUAAUACCGGAUAGGAGCUCCUGCUGCAUGGUGGGGGUUGGAAAGUUUCGGCGGUUGGGGAUGGACUCGCGGCUUAUCAGCUUGUUGGUGGGGUAGUGGCUUACCAAGGCUUUGACGGGUAGCCGGCCUGAGAGGGUGACCGGCCACAUUGGGACUGAGAUACGGCCCAGACUCCUACGGGAGGCAGCAGUGGGGAAUAUUGCACAAUGGGCGGAAGCCUGAUGCAGCAACGCCGCGUGCGGGAUGACGGCCUUCGGGUGGUAAACCGCUUUCGCCUGUGACGAAGCGUGAGUGACGGUAAUGGGUAAAGAAGCACCGGCUAACUACGUG
rnacentral:rRNA from 1 species